UACAGAGGUCUCAAGCGUUGUUCGGAUUCAUUGGGCGUAAAGGGUGCGUAGGCGGCGCGGUAAGUCGGGUGUGAAAUCUCGGAGCUUAACUCCGAAACUGCAUUCGAUACUGCCGUGCUUGAGGACUGGAGAGGAGACUGGAAUUUACGGUGGUAGCGGUGAAAUGCGUAGAUAAUCGUGAGGAAGACCGGUGGCGAAGGCGGAUCGU
rnacentral:rRNA from 1 species